rnacentral:lncRNA from 1 species
AACAAAGGAUGCUGGUGUCAUUGCUGGACUUAAUGUCAUGCGUAUUAUCAACGAGCCCACGGCUGCUGCCAUUGCUUAUGGUCUCGACAAGAAAGCUACCAGUGUCGGCGAAAAGAAUGUCUUGAUCUUUGAUCUUGGUGGUGGUACUUUUGAUGUCUCUCUUCUUACCAUUGAAGAGGGUAUAUUUGAAGUGAAAGCCACUGCUGGUGACACUCAUCUUGGAGGUGAAGAUUUUGAUAACAGAAUGGUGAACCACUUUGUGCAAGAGUUUAAAAGAAAGAACAAGAAGGACAUUAGUGGUAAUCCCAGGGCUCUUAGGAGGUUGAGGACUGCUUGUGAAAGGGCGAAGAGAACUUUAUCAUCCACUGCUCAAACAACCAUAGAAAUUGACUCCUUGUAUGAGGGUAUCGAUUUUUACUCUACCAUUACCCGUGCCAGGUUUGAAGAACUUAACAUGGAUCUAUUCAGGAAGUGUAUGGAACCAGUUGAGAAAUGUUUGAGGGAUGCUAAGAUGGACAAGAGCACUGUCCAUGAUGUUGUUCUUGUUGGUGGUUCCACUAGAAUUCCAAAGGUCCAACAACUUUUACAAGAUUUCUUCAAUGGGAAGGAGCUUUGCAAGAGCAUCAACCCUGAUGAGGCCGUUGCAUACGGUGCUGCAGUCCAAGCUGCUAUAUUGAGUGGUGAAGGUAAUGAGAAAGUGCAAGAUCUCUUGCUCUUGGAUGUCACCCCAUUGUCUCUCGGUUUGGAAACCGCUGGUGGUGUUAUGACCGUUUUGAUUCCAAGGAACACCACCAUUCCAACCAAAAAAGAACAAGUCUUCUCAACCUACUCCGACAACCAACCUGGAGUGUUGAUCCAAGUCUACGAAGGUGAAAGAACAAGGACCAGAGACAACAACUUGCUCGGUAAAUUUGAGCUCUCUGGCAUCCCUCCUGCUCCUAGAGGUGUCCCACAGAUCACUGUCUGCUUUGAUAUCGAUGCUAAUGGUAUCUUAAACGUCUCUGCCGAAGACAAAACCACUGGACAAAAGAACAAAAUCACCAUCACAAACGACAAGGGCCGACUCUCCAAAGAAGAAAUUGAAAAGAUGGUUCAAGAAGCAGAGAAAUACAAAUCCGAAGAUGAAGAACAUAAAAAGAAGGUCGAGGCAAAGAAUGCAUUGGAAAACUAUGCAUACAAUAUGAGGAACACAGUUAAGGACGAAAAGAUUGGUGCCAAACUCCCAGCAGCUGAUAAAAA